AGAGUUUGAUCCUGGCUCAGGAUGAACGCUGGCGGCGUGCCUAAUACAUGCAAGUCGAGCGAACGGACGAGAAGCUUGCUUCUCUGAUGUUAGCGGCGGACGGGUGAGUAACACGUGGAUAACCUACCUAUAAGACUGGGAUAACUUCGGGAAACCGGAGCUAAUACCGGAUAAUAUUUUGAACCGCAUGGUUCAAAAGUGAAAGACGGUCUUGCUGUCACUUAUAGAUGGAUCCGCGCUGCAUCAGCUAGUUGGUAAGGUAACGGCUUACCAAGGCAACGAUGCAUAGCCGACCUGAGAGGGUGAUCGGCCACACUGGAACUGAGACACGGUCCAGACUCCUACGGGAGGCAGCAGUAGGGAAUCUUCCGCAAUGGGCGAAAGCCUGACGGAGCAACGCCGCGUGAGUGAUGAAGGUCUUCGGAUCGUAAAACUCUGUUAUUAGGGAAGAACAUAUGUGUAAGUAACUGUGCACAUCUUGACGGUACCUAAUCAGAAAGCCACGGCUAACUACGUGCCAGCAGCCGCGGUAAUACGUAGGUGGCAAGCGUUAUCCGGAAUUAUUGGGCGUAAAGCGCGCGUAGGCGGUUUUUUAAGUCUGAUGUGAAAGCCCACGGCUCAACCGUGGAGGGUCAUUGGAAACUGGAAAACUUGAGUGCAGAAGAGGAAAGUGGAAUUCCAUGUGUAGCGGUGAAAUGCGCAGAGAUAUGGAGGAACACCAGUGGCGAAGGCGACUUUCUGGUCUGUAACUGACGCUGAUGUGCGAAAGCGUGGGGAUCAAACAGGAUUAGAUACCCUGGUAGUCCACGCCGUAAACGAUGAGUGCUAAGUGUUAGGGGGUUUCCGCCCCUUAGUGCUGCAGCUAACGCAUUAAGCACUCCGCCUGGGGAGUACGACCGCAAGGUUGAAACUCAAAGGAAUUGACGGGGACCCGCACAAGCGGUGGAGCAUGUGGUUUAAUUCGAAGCAACGCGAAGAACCUUACCAAAUCUUGACAUCCUUUGACAACUCUAGAGAUAGAGCCUUCCCCUUCGGGGGACAAAGUGACAGGUGGUGCAUGGUUGUCGUCAGCUCGUGUCGUGAGAUGUUGGGUUAAGUCCCGCAACGAGCGCAACCCUUAAGCUUAGUUGCCAUCAUUAAGUUGGGCACUCUAAGUUGACUGCCGGUGACAAACCGGAGGAAGGUGGGGAUGACGUCAAAUCAUCAUGCCCCUUAUGAUUUGGGCUACACACGUGCUACAAUGGACAAUACAAAGGGCAGCGAAACCGCGAGGUCAAGCAAAUCCCAUAAAGUUGUUCUCAGUUCGGAUUGUAGUCUGCAACUCGACUACAUGAAGCUGGAAUCGCUAGUAAUCGUAGAUCAGCAUGCUACGGUGAAUACGUUCCCGGGUCUUGUACACACCGCCCGUCACACCACGAGAGUUUGUAACACCCGAAGCCGGUGGAGUAACCUUUUAGGAGCUAGCCGUCGAAGGUGGGACAAAUGAUUGGGGUGAAGUCGUAACAAGGUAGCCGUAUCGGAAGGUGCGGCUGGAUCACCU
rnacentral:rRNA from 1 species